rnacentral:rRNA from 1 species
GACGAGGGGUCCAAGCGUUGUUCGGAAUCAUUGGGCGUAAAGCGGGUGUAGGCGGCUCUAUAAGUCAGGAGUGAAAGCCCCAAGCUUAACUUGGGAAGUGCUUUUGAUACUGCAGAGCUUGAAUGUGGGAGAGGGUAGUGGAAUUCCAGGUGUAGUGGUGAAAUACGUAGAUAUCUGGAGGAACACCGGUGGCGAAGGCGGCUAACCUGGCCCCAACAUUGACGCUGAGACCCGAAAGCAUGG